GACGAACGCUGGCGGCGUGCCUAACACAUGCAAGUCGAACGAUGCCUUCGGGCAUAGGGGCGCACGUGUGCGUAACGCGUGGUAAUCUGCCCUUGGCUUCGGAAUAACAGUUAGAAAUGACUGCUAAUACCGGAGGGUGUCCCCCUGAGAGAUCGUUGGGACCAAAGAUUUAUCGGCCAGGGAUUAGCCCGCGUAGGAUUAGGUAGUUGGUGGGGUAGAGGGCUACCAAGCCGACGAUCCUUAGCUGGUCUGAGAGGAUGAUAAGCCACACUGGGAAUGCGACCCGGACCAGAACCCUACGGGAGGCAGGAGUGGGGAAUAUUGGACAAUGGGGGGAACCGUGAUAACGCAAUGCCGCGUGAGUGAUGCAGGCCUUAGGGUUGUAAAGCUCUUUUACCAGGGAUGAUAAUGACAGUACCUGGAGAAUAAGCUCCGGCUAACUACGUG
rnacentral:rRNA from 1 species